rnacentral:rRNA from 1 species
GACAAACGCUGGCGGCGUGCCUAAUACAUGCAAGUCGAGCGAGCUUGCCUAGAUGAUUUUAGUGCUUGCACUAAAUGAAACUAGAUACAAGCGAGCGGCGGACGGGUGAGUAACACGUGGGUAACCUGCCCAAGAGACUGGGAUAACACCUGGAAACAGAUGCUAAUACCGGAUGAUGCAUGAUCAGGGCAUCCUGGACAUGCCAAAGAUUUAUCGCUGAAAGAUGGCCUCGCGUCUGAUUAGCUAGUUGGUGAGGUAACGGCCCACCAAGGCGACGAUCAGUAACCGGACUGAGAGGUUGACCGGCCACAUUGGGACUGAGAUACGGCCCAG